rnacentral:sRNA from 1 species
CGUUGUUCGGUUUUACUCCUCCUCCCAAAAACCGAACCAGAAGCGCGAUACUCCUCCUCCCAAAUCGCGCUUUACAGAUCAGCCCACUGCACACUCCUCCUCCCAGUGCAGUGGGCGUUCU